AGUCGAGCGAGCUUGCCUAGAUGAAUUUGGUGCUUGCACCAGAUGAAACUAGAUACAAGCGAGCGGCGGACGGGUGAGUAACACGUGGGUAACCUGCCCAAGAGACUGGGAUAACACCUGGAAACAGAUGCUAAUACCGGAUAACAACACUAGACGCAUGUCUAGAGUUUAAAAGAUGGUUCUGCUAUCACUCUUGGAUGGACCUGCGGUGCAUUAGCUAGUUGGUAAGGUAACGGCUUACCAAGGCAAUGAUGCAUAGCCGAGUUGAGAGACUGAUCGGCCACAUUGGGACUGAGACACGGCCCAAACUCCUACGGGAGGCAGCAGUAGGGAAUCUUCCACAAUGGACGCAAGUCUGAUGGAGCAACGCCGCGUGAGUGAAGAAGGGUUUCGGCUCGUAAAGCUCUGUUGGUAGUGAAGAAAGAUAGAGGUAGUAACUGGCCUUUAUUUGACGGUAAUUACUUAGAAAGUCACGGCUAACUACGUGCCAGCAGCCGCGGUAAUACGUAGGUGGCAAGCGUUGUCCGGAUUUAUUGGGCGUAAAGCGAGUGCAGGCGGUUCAAUAAGUCUGAUGUGAAAGCCUUCGGCUCAACCGGAGAAUUGCAUCAGAAACUGUUGAACUUGAGUGCAGAAGAGGAGAGUGGAACUCCAUGUGUAGCGGUGGA
rnacentral:rRNA from 1 species